UACGUAGGGCGCGAGCGUUGUCCGGAAUUAUUGGGCGUAAAGAGCUCGUAGGCGGCCUGUCGCGUCAAUUGUGAAAGCCCGGGGCUUAACCCCGGGUCUGCAGUCGAUACGGGCAGGCUAGAGUGUGGUAGGGGAGAUCGGAAUUCCUGGUGUAGCGGUGAAAUGCGCAGAUAUCAGGAGGAACACCGGUGGCGAAGGCGGAUCUCUGGGCCGAUACUGACGCUGAGGAGCGAAAGCGUGGGGAGCGAACAGG
rnacentral:rRNA from 1 species